AUGUUUGAGAGUAAAAGUGGGCUAUACAGGAUAUCCAGAGAAGUAGAGUUAAGUGUGUUAACACAUCCGGUAGAUUUAAGAAUUGUAAGCAAAAAUAUUGAAAAUGAGCUAAAAUAUUGUGGUUAUAAAUAUAUUCAUCAAGAUGAUGUGGGACUGCAUAAUUUAGAGAAUGCAAUGGAAGACAUGGAAGUAGAAAAUAGUGGUAAAAGAAGAAGGGGAUAUGGGGAAUCGUCUGUAAAAAGAGAAGGAGAAAGAGAGAGACCUACCAGGUCAGCUGGACAAUGGCCUCCAGAAAAAGAUGACUAUCAACCUACGUAUAUCCCUGGACAAUAUAGAUAUAUGGGUACUAAAAGAAGAGAUUUUGAAAAACCAGUGCAAUUUCAAAAUUAUAAGAAUGAUGACGCUAUAUUAAACCUAGCAACUCAUGAUCCAAUAGAUUGGUUGAAUAUAAUCAGCAUAUGGAAAGGAUUAAUAGUACAAAAAUAUAUACAAAAUGAGUAUAAUAUAGUCACUAAGGUAGAAGAUAUGUUAACAUAUCUUGAAACAUAUUUAGGAGAAUCUGUAAAAGUUCUAUGGAAACAAUGGGUAGAGUCAUACCCUAGUCAAUAUGAAGAACUAAAAAGGGCAGGAAGUAACCCAAAUAACUUUGCGAAUGUUAUCUCAAAUAUGAUCAUAGCAGAAGAUCCAGAAUUAGGACAUACCCCAUUGCAAAAUGAAAGAUUAACAGAAAUAGAAAAAUUAACAUUAACUAGCUGGAAAGGUAUAAAGGACUUUUCCCAGCAUUAUUUGUAUAAUGCUACUACUGCUAACCAAGGUUUUAAUGUAGGUGUAGUAGAAAGAUGUUUUAAUAAAUUGCCCGAUCCUCUAGGUUCCAUAAUAUUUGAGGAGUAUAAAAAAUAAACAGGAGGAAAUGUGGUAAAUAUAUCCCAAGCCAUAGCAUUUGUUUUCAAACAACUUAGAAAGGUAUGUACUAGUAUUCAAGCCCAAAGAUCUAUGAAGAAAUCAUAUUACAAUUUUUGCAAUAACAUUGUCCAAAUACCACUAACAUAUGUAGAAGAAAGGCAUAGGAAAAACAAAUAGUAUAAGCCACAAAGGAGAGAUGAUAAUUUUAUAACAAAGAAAAGAUGUUUCUUAAGAAGGUCAGACAAUAGAGCCCCAUUCUUGCAUAAAAGAAAUGUAAGAAGAUAUAAUCCUAAGAAAACCUACGAUAAAACAUGCAGGUGUUUCAUAUGUAACUCUCCUGAUCAUCUAAGUAGAACUUGCCCUAAUAAAGACCAGAAAAGAUACUCUAGCAAAUAUGAACAGCAAGAGAGAGUGUUAAUUAUAGAUAGCGUUAAUGAGAAUAUAUUAGUAUGUGAUGAUGAAAUAAAAGAUGAUGAGUCAAUAUAUUCAAUUAUAGAAACAGAUGAAGUAGAAAAUGAGGCUCCAAAAUGUGAAUGAAGUGAAGAUGAAAUAGACCUAAUAGAUGAAUUAGCCGGUUUAAAAAUUGAAAUGAUGAACCAAGUAGAUUGUGAACAUGAUUGGAUUAGAGGAAAAGGUGAUUAUAACAUAAAAUGUGCUUUUUGUAUAUAUUAUCCAAGCCAAGAUAAUAGGUUCACAUGUAGCUUGUGCUUAAAACAAGCCUCUACCUCAUGUUUAAGAGCCAAUAAUCAAAAGUGGACACUGGAGAUAGAACUGGAACCAGAAGAGCGAAUAUUAUCCAGUAAGGCUAGAAAUUUAGAAAAUAGAAUAAAUAAGCUAGAAGCAGAGCUAGAAAAACUUAAAGAUGAGUUAGAAAAUAGUAAAGAGCAAAAUAAUAAUGUUGCAAAAAACACGGAAAUGAAAGAGCAAAUGGUAACAGUAAGGGAUAAAAAAGGAGACAAAUUAAUACAAUUGAAAGAUGCAAUUACUAGUUUUGGAAACAAAUAUAUUGUUCGAUUACCAUUCAAAGAAGUGCUAGGGAUAAGAAUCCCAGUUAGGAUUGUUCUGAAGCCAAAUAUUUCAUAUAAAAUACUGGCACUAUUAGAUACUGGUUGCACUAAGAACAUCAUCCAUGAUAAAUAUUUUAUGAGAUGUCCCGAAAUAGUUGAAACUAUAGAUGAUAAUAAAGCUGAAGUAUCAACCGAUAUGUCAGGAAUAAAGAAGAUCCAUAAUCAGCUAGCAUAUAAUAUUGAAGCUUACAUAAAUGGCACAAAAUAUAUAAUAGAUGAAAUUACAAUAAGAGAUUUGUCAGUAAUAAAUGAUGACAUGAUAAUAGGGUUAAGAUUUUUGCAACAAUGUUUACAAACCACAAUCAUACAUGAAGAAGGGGUAACAUUCGUCCCUUAUCAAGAUAAUGUUCCAUACAUAUCUGAAGUGCGAAAACAAAGAAAGUCCUUGCAAAAUGUAGAAAUAUCUAAUUUAGAUGAUGAAUAUAGCAUAGGUCCAUAUCCCCUUUAAUUCUGUAAAGACGAAGAACUUAGUGAGACCAUAGAAGAAUAUCAUAUAGAAAAUACAUGUACAAAAUGCAUUGGGUUACAAUCAUUUUCGCAAAUUGGUAUAGAGAUCUAA
rnacentral:rRNA from 1 species